UUUUAUUUGAUAUGGAAGAUUUGGUGGUAGGUUAACCAUGCCCUUUGGGAAGAAAUAAGGAAUAUUAAUCACCAACUUAUCAACACAGUAGUAGGUAGACAUAAGCAAUGUUGAUCCAACACCUGCUGUUGAAGGAGCAUAAGGAAUCCUUGUCAAAUGCUCUUUCAUUGUUGUGGCUCUCAGCCCUAGCUUAAAAUCCCAAUAUGCUUCAGCACAGAUGCCACCUAUUCAGCCCCUGCGUUUACUGGUUCCUGCAAAUUAUCCUAACUGUUCUCCCAAUACAAAUUUCCAGUUGAAUCCAGGUGAGAUUUUGAGAAGCACUUUGGUAUCUCUUGUGUUAUGAUAUGAUCACUUCAAUGUUCACAAAAACUUCGCAGCUAUGAUUUAAG
rnacentral:sRNA from 1 species